rnacentral:rRNA from 1 species
UGGGGAAUAUUGGACAAUGGGCGCAAGCCUGAUCCAGCCAUGCCGCGUGAGUGAAGAAGGCCUUCGGGUUGUAAAGCUCUUUUACCAGGGACGAUAAUGACGGUACCUGGAGAAUAAGCCCCGGCAAACUUCGUGCCAGCAGCCGCGGUAAUACGAAGGGGGCUAGCGUUGUUCGGAAUUACUGGGCGUAAAGCGCACGUAGGCGGAUUGUUAAGUCAGAGGUGAAAUCCCGGAGCUCAACUUCGGAACUGCCUUUGAUACUGGCAAUCUAGAGUCCGGAAGAGGUUAGUGGAAUUCCCAGUGUAGAGGUGAAAUUCGUAGAUAUUGGGAAGAACACCAGUGGCGAAGGCGGCUAACUGGUCCGGUACUGACGCUGAGGUGCGAAAGCGUGGGGAGCAAACAGGAUUAGAUACCCGCGUAGUCCCUGAGCGGGCUGGCAAGGCGCAU